rnacentral:lncRNA from 1 species
CUAAGAACCAUAGAGAUCCAAUGGGGGGGAUGAAGCAAGCCCAUAAAUAAAAUGGCCCACAAAAAUGGUUUUUUGAGUUAAAAAUUUUCUCUUUUAGCUUUUCCCUGCAAAUAGGGUUGUUGUCUGUGAUGAUCACCGAUAAGCUACUGUUGAUCGGAAAGGUUCAGAUUUAGGUCUUAUUGUCCGGCUCUGGGCGCUCCUUGUAAGUUAUCCAUGGUUUCCCUUUUAUCUAAUUUGGAACAGAAAGCUCAAAAUGAUACGAUAAAAACCACGUUCUUCAUCUGUGACGCUAUACUCACUGCAUUUGUUACAGUUUGCAAAACUCACUUUCUUUUAUCUAUCCGCUUUAACGGGCUUAAAUGCUAUAAAAUAUUUAUGGUGAUAAAGAAUGCAAUGUUUUGUAAUUUUGGUAUUACACUAAGCCCUGUGGGAAUUGGUUGGAAAUGUUUGGUGAAUGUGAAUGAACUUUUUCUCAUAGUUUCUAGCAAAGGUUUUCUAGGUUCGAAUCGUUUAUUUUCUUAACCAUAAUCAGUGACUAAACCCUGGAGAUGCUAAUGGGAUUAUUAAAGACAAUUGCUUUAGCUCCUGAAGGAAAUGGUGAAACUGUUUAUAGCUUGUGCCAUUUUAGAUUUUUUUUUUUUUUUGGUUUUCUUUUGGGUGUUAGUGGAAUACAAUUGCUUUUCUACGGGUGUUUGUGAUGUUUAUUGGAGAUUGAAUGACAAAUAACCUUGAGACAUGCUAAUUAGAGAUGCAGUAGUUUCGUGUUCACGAAUCUUUGUAUUCAAUUAUUGUUUGUAAGAUAGAAUGCAGUUAUCGUAAGCUAUUUAACAUCUCCUUCCCUUAUAUGUAAGCUGGUACUUAUUAUUGUUGGAUUCUUUAUUCUGCUGCAUCAAAUGAUGGAUGACAUAAACCUCUUGCAGUUUCCUGUCUUUAGAUGAUGCGACCCAGCCACUUUAGUUAAAAGCUUUUUUGUAAGAGCUUUUAACUCUCAGUAAUUGAUGGGACCAAGUGAGUUAAAUUUAUAUAAUCAAUACUAAUAUAGGUUAAAGUUAUAAAAAUCAGAUUUUUCUUGGAAGAAUGGUCUGCCAUUGUGAAUGGAAAAUUCAGAUUUAUUGGUCUAGUUACUUGGAAACAGAGGUACGGCUUGUUGAAAUAGGGAGCCUUUCUAUGAAUCGGCAAUACCAGAAUCCACAUGGUGAUGCCACAUAUUUGAACGGGCGUAAUGAAGCAUCAGAGUAGUCAUUAAAUGGCAUUACUCUUACAGCUUUGCUUUAGUAGAUGAUUAAGUAUCCAUUUUGGUUUUCCUUUUAUUCUCUGUUUCACCUGAACAGAAGUUGUGCUUUCAGUAAUUUGUGACUUGCAUAGUUUUGCAGNN